ACCAAAUGGUUGCUUGACCACCGCCGAUAAAACCCAAAACAACAAGAAGAAGAAGAACUAAAGAUGGCUACCAGGUUAUCGUAUGCAAGAUAGCCACAGCGACGUUUCUAGUUGUUUUAAUUAACUACGGACAUAAAGCCCAGUCGGUUGGUUUUAACCCUCGUUAGCCGGACAACCUGACACGAUGGAGGAACCAUGGGACUUUGAGUUCUUGUCCCGCAUCGCUGACAGCUGCCUGUCGUUCCUCACCGAGUUCGUGGACGACUGGCUCGCCAACGACAUGAGAGUUUCCAUAUUCAAGAUCUUGCUCAGCUGGUUGAUUUUCAGUCUCAUCGCCAUUCACUUCGCGUGGAAAGUCUACGGGAACACGGUGAACGACAUGUAUUACCGACAAGGGACCGGGCAGAACGGAGGUCCCCCUGACACAGCCCCACACCUGAGGGGAUGGUAGGUGACCCAGCGCCCUGUGGCUCCGGGCUGGAGACUCCACCAGACUCCCACUGUCAUGUAGUCUCACCUGCUUCACUUUGGGAAAGCAAAGCCAGGGAUACUCUGAAGACGCAUCGAGAUUAACAGGACAAUUGACUUUGGACUUUAUGCAAGUGAGACCUGGACAGUUUAAGUCCUUCAGAGACAUCCAUUACACCCACACCUCUGAAAAACAUAAUCUUCAGUGCACUCAAGAUGGAUGCACCAUCUGGCGUCUGCCUGAAGAAACAUGUGACCAUGCAUACCAACAGUCUGACACUGAUAUGCACUAAACUGACUGUACAAUAUUUAUUUCAGUCUGUUAUCUCUGGUCAAUGAACAGAUUUUAUUCUGCAUAAAAGCUUUUUUUUCUUUCAA